UGCGUAGGCGGCGCGGUAAGUCGGGUGUGAAAUCUCGGAGCUUAACUCCGAAACUGCAUUCGAUACUGCCGUGCUUGAGGACUGGAGAGGAGACUGGAAUUUACGGUGUAGCGGUGAAAUGCGUAGAUAUCGUAAGGAAGACCAGUGGCGAAGGCGGGUCUCUGGACAGUUCCUGACGCUGAGGACGAAGGCCAGGGGGAGCGAAACG
rnacentral:rRNA from 1 species